UGAACGCUGGCGGCAGGCCUAACACAUGCAAGUCGAACGGUAACAGGAAGAAGCUUGCUUCUUUGCUGACGAGUGGCGGACGGGUGAGUAAUGUCUGGGAAACUGCCUGAUGGAGGGGGAUAACUACUGGAAACGGUAGCUAAUACCGCAUAACGUCGCAAGACCAAAGAGGGGGACCUUCGGGCCUCUUGCCAUCGGAUGUGCCCAGAUGGGAUUAGCUAGUAGGUGGGGUAACGGCUCACCUAGGCGACGAUCCCUAGCUGGUCUGAGAGGAUGACCAGCCACACUGGAACUGAGACACGGUCCAGACUCUUACGGGAGGCAGCAGUGGGGAAUAUUGCACAAUGGGCGCAAGCCUGAUGCAGCCAUGCCGCGUGUAUGAAGAAGGCCUUCGGGUUGUAAAGUACUUUCAGCGGGGAGGAAGGGAGUAAAGUUAAUACCUUUACUCAUUGACGUUACCCGCAGAAGAAGCACCGGCUAACUCCGUG
rnacentral:rRNA from 1 species